rnacentral:rRNA from 1 species
CAGUCGCCGCGGGAAUACGGAGGGUGCAAGCGUUAAUCGGAAUUACUGGGCGUAAAGCGUGCGUAGGUGGUGGUUUAAGUCCGUUGUGAAAGCCCUGGGCUCAACCUGGGAAUUGCAGUGGAUACUGGGUCACUAGAGUGUGGUAGAGGAUAGUGGAAUUUCCGGUGUAGCAGUGAAAUGCGUAGAGAUCGGAAGGAACAUCUGUGGCGAAGGCGACUAUCUGGGCCAACACUGACACUGAGGCACGAAAGCGUGGGGAGCAAACAGGAUUAGAUACCCCUGUAGUCCCUGUCUCUUAUAC